rnacentral:rRNA from 1 species
CCUACGGGUGGCUGCAGUGGGGAAUAUUGGACAAUGGGGGGAACCCUGAUCCAGCCAUGCCGCGUGUGUGAAGAAGGCCCUCGGGUUGUAAAGCACUUUCAGUGAGGAAGAACGCCUGGUGGUUAAUACCAUCAGGAAAGACAUCACUCACAGAAGAAGCACCGGCUAACUCCGUGCCAGCAGCCGCGGUAAUACGGAGGGUGCGAGCGUUAAUCGGAAUUACUGGGCGUAAAGCGCGCGUAGGUGGCUUGAUAAGCCGGUUGUGAAAGCCCCGGGCUCAACCUGGGAACGGCAUCCGGAACUGUCAAGCUAGAGUGCAGGAGAGGAAGGUAGAAUUCCCGGUGUAGCGGUGAAAUGCGUAGAGAUCGGGAGGAAUACCAGUGGCGAAGGCGGCCUUCUGGACUGACACUGACACUGAGGUGCGAAAGCGUGGGUAGCAAACAGGAUUAGAUACCCCAGUAGUC